AUGCCUUACCAAUGAUGGAAUUUGUAUACAUGACUGAUAAAUAAUUUGUUGAUUAUAGUUAUAUAGUUUAGUUUUUGAUUAAUUUAAUUUCUGUUAGCUUGCGUGACUGUCAAUGGUUUUGCCCAUCACUAUAAAUGCCCCCUAGCUAUGGGCCAGAUGUGUCAGUAUGAGAUGGCAGUUGUGGUGUAAGGAUGCUGAAAGAGAUUGCCAUGCUUGAAAGUAUACCUGCUUUAAUCAUUGAAAGUCCUGUAGAAAGUGGACGAAAGCAUGUGAAGCUGAUUGAAUGUGACCGCUGAACUGCAUCAAGAGAAAUGCCAUCAGAUCCUACACUUUCCUGGGCAUUGUAUAAGAAACGGUUUACGUCACGGUGGCAUUUGGUGAGGUUAAACAUUUCGGCAUUUGUGAUUAGUAGAUCUGAAUUUCUGAGGAACCAUGCACCAAAAGGUGAAAUUGUUUUGUAGCGUGUAGGCAGUUCUAAAUUGAUUGUUGCUGUUAACUUGUUCAAGUGUCUUGCUGUUAUUACAAUUUUGUGGCUUAUACCUGUUGUACA